UAUUUUGCAAAGUGAUUAUACCAUUUUAUUCUGUGGUUUUUAAGCAGAAGAAAGAUUUGGUUUUCCAUUUCUGCUAAACUGAGGAGCAAACAAACCCAGAAACUGAAUGAGGAGUCAAUUUAAUUUUGAAAGAGUUUAUAACAAGUUUAUUAAUAAUGUGGCAUUUGCUCUCCUUUCUGAUUUUCCUGGGAGACCAUCAUAAACAGAAUUCUAAGAAGACUCUCUUAAACUCCCAUAUAAGUUUCCUUCUUGAAACCAAGCAAGCUGAUCCAAGAUAGAGAGGACUCAAUAAAAUAAACAGCUGGAAAUAAGCAGACUACUGUAAGAGUGAAUUGAAAAGAAAACCCAAUGAAACAAGUCAGAAAGUCAGUGGAGUUAAAAACAGAGUGAAAUGCUCUGAGAAGCCCAUGCUGUUCGCCCAGCAGGACAUCAGGAGCUGAAAUUCCUGC